ACCUGGGGCUCCAUCAUGCAGAAUGAAAAAUGAAAGGAUGGCCACAGAAAUACAUGCACACCCUUGCUUGGACACGUGUUGUACAGAGAGCAGUGCCACUCAGAACCUUAUACUGGGAUUUGAAAGAGAAGGGGACACCUGGAUCAGUUUUGAGGUGGAGCACAGUGUUACCAAAGAAGUAAAAAUGCUUUGUUUAUAAAAAUACAGAAUGGCCUGGUUCGAUGUGAUCUGAAAGAUCAUCUCAUUCCAACUCUCCUGCUGAAGGCAGGGACACCUUUCACUAGGUCAGGUUGCUCUGAGUUCAUUUCAACCUGGCCUUGAACACUUCAAGGCCUGGGGCACCUACAACCUCUCUGGAUAACUGUUGCCAAUGCCUUACAAUGUAACCCUAACCUAACCCUAACCCUAACCCUAACCCUAACCCUAACCCUAACCCUAACCCUAACCCUAACCCUAACCCUAACCCUAACCCUAACCCUAACCCUAACCCUAACCUAACCCUAACCCUAACCCUAACCCUAACCCUAACCCUAACCCUCCCAGUAAAGAUUUUUUUUCCUAAUAUAUGAUUUCCUAAUAUACUCUCGUUCAGUUUGAACCCCUCCCCCUUGUCCUGCCACUGCAUGCUCUUGUGAAAAGUCUCUCUCCAUCUUUCUUGUUCUUUUCAGGUACUGGAAGGCCACAAUUAGGUCACCCUUAAGCUGUCUCUUUUCCAGGCUGUACAAUUCCAAUUCUCUUAGCCUUUCCUGAC
rnacentral:lncRNA from 1 species